GGGGGAAUAUUGCACAAUGGGCGAAAGCCUGAUGCAGCGACGCCGCGUGAGUGAAGAAGUAUUUCGGUAUGUAAAGCUCUAUCAGCAGGGAAGAAGAAAGACGGUACCUGACUAAGAAGCCCCGGCUAACUACGUGCCAGCAGCCGCGGUAAUACGUAGGGGGCAAGCGUUAUCCGGAUUUACUGGUGUAAAGGAGCGUAGACGGCACCGCAAGUCUGAAGUGAAAGCCCCGGGCUUAACCCGGGAACUGCUUUGGAAACUGUGGGCUGGAGUGCUGGAGAGGUAAGCGGAAUUCCUAGUGUAGCGGUGAAAUGCGUAGAUAUUAGGAGGAACACCAGUGGCGAAGGCGGCUUACUGGACAGUCACUGACGUUGAGGCACGAAAGCGUGGGGAUCGAACAGGAUUAGAUACC
rnacentral:rRNA from 1 species